AGGCAGUUGGCGGGGUAACGGCCCACCAAACCGACGAUGGAUAGGGGUUCUGAGAGGAAGGUCCCCCACAUUGGUACUGAGACACGGACCAAACUCCUACGGGAGGCAGCAGUGAGGAAUAUUGGUCAAUGGCCGAGAGGCUGAACCAGCCAAGUCGCGUGAAGGAUGAAGGAUCUAUGGUUUGUAAACUUCUUUUAUACGGGAAUAAAGUGAGCCACGCGUGGCUUUUUGUAUGUACCGUAUGAAUAAGCAUCGGCUAACUCCGUGCCAGCAGCCGCGGUAAUACGGAGGAUGCGAGCGUUAUCCGGAUUUAUUGGGUUUAAAGGGUGCGUAGGUGGUCUUUUAAGUCAGCGGUGAAAGUUUGUGGCUCAACCAUAAAAUUGCCAUUGAAACUGGGGGACUUGAGUAUGUUUGAGGUAGGCGGAAUGCGUGGUGUAGCGGUGAAAUGCAUAGAUAUCACGCAGAACUCCGAUUGCGAAGGCAGCUUGCCAAGCCAUAACUGACACUGAAGCACGAAAGCGUGGGUAUCAAACAGGAUUAGAUACCCUGGUAGUCCACGCAGUAAACGAUGAUUACUAGGAGUUUGCGAUAAAAUGUAAGCUCUACAGCGAAAGCGUUAAGUAAUCCACCUGGGG
rnacentral:rRNA from 1 species